GAUGAAGAACGUAGCGAAAUGCGAUAAGUAAUGUGAAUUGCAGAAUUCAGUGAAUCAUCGAAUCUUUGAACGCACAUUGCGCCCGCCAGUAUUCUGGCGGGCAUGCCUGUUCGAGCGUCAUUUCAACCAUCAAGCCCCAGGCUUGUGUUGGGGACCUGCGGCUGCCGCAGGCCCUGAAAACCAGUGGCGGGCUCGCUGUCACACCGGGCGUAGUAGAUUUUAUCUCGCUCAGGGCGUGCUGCGGGUUCCGGCCGUUAAAAAGCCUUUUUUACCCAAGGUUGACCUCGGAUCAGGUAGGAAGACCCGCUGAACUUAAGCAUAUCAACAAGCGGAGGA
rnacentral:misc_RNA from 1 species